ACAGAGGGAAAUUGCCACUGGUCUGUUCUGUAGCCAUUGGUAAGAUCAAUGUGCCUAUACAAACAUUGGGGUAUCAAAGCUUAUUACCCAUAACCUUGUGUGUGUGUGUAAUGAGACCCGUACCCCAACACUC